rnacentral:rRNA from 1 species
UGUAAGGGUGUGGCGGGAGGCGGGGUAAGGCGAACCGUGGGAACGUUGUGCGGAAUCACUGGGGUUGAAGGGCGCGUAGGCGGCAGAUCAAGGCCGGGGGGAAAGCGUCCCGCUCAACGGGAGAAGGGCCUUGGAUACUGAGCUGCUCGAGGGAGGUAGGGGUCGAGGGAACUUCUGGUGGAGCGGUGAAAUGCGUUGAUAUCAGAAGGAACGCCGGUGGCGAAAGCGCUCGACUGGACCUUUUCUGACGCUGAGGCGCGAAAGCUAGGGGAGCAAACGGGAUUAGAUACCCUAGUAGUC